UCCGACGCGCGCCCGCUCGGUUGUUGUUUUUAUUGUUCUACACAACAACAACAACAACAACAAGCUAACAAAACAAAAAUCGCCCUGAACGGGCCAAAUGGCGCAUCUGAGCUGAAAAUGAAAACUUCCGCGUGCGUGAGCGGUAAAUGAGGUGGGACUCGGGAGGUCCUCCCCAGAAGCCUACGAUGAAUCCCAAAUUACUUUGUUAGAUAAUUAGAAAGUGUUAAUAAUUAUUUCUUUCAUAAUUCAGCGGUGUGACUGUAACAGGAAAAUGAUCUUGUGAAAGUUCACACGUGCAGAUGUAUUAGUUACUGAUUCAUUUGAUUAAAUGCUAGUCUCAAGUGCUCUGAUCCACAGCUGAAGGCGGCCCCAUUAGCAUAACACUGAUGUUUAAUUUUCAUACGCAUAAUUAGCCAUAUAUUUAACACUAAUAGCAACAUGCAGCCUUUCAGCAUUAAACAGCCUGGGAUUUGAUCUGGCCUGGGCUGAACUUUCCCGGCUACACCUAGACUGUGUAGGGUGCGCAGUUAUCACGGUACCAAAUCUAUGUAAUCAAGCACAUUUUGGCAAAGGGAGAACACCAAUAAAAAUGAACAUUCAAAACAAAUCGCAUUGCUGAUGUCGUUAGAGGUAUUAGCGCAGACUUCUCUUCCCCCAGCCGCGGUGCCCGCGCCGCCGCGCAGCGUGUCUGGCGGAGGCAGCACUGUGCAGGCGGCGGGGCUGGCACUCGCUGCCCCAGCGCACGCGGAUCCCGCUGACAGCCUUUAAAAGAUAUUUAAACUUUUUCGGGCAGUGACGGCCCUUGAAGCAACCAGCUAAUGGCUGUGUGCAAAGCUGACAAGAUUGAGCCCCUCUACUCCUUUAUUUAUUUAUCUAUUUAUUCCUGUUUCCUUCUUGGCACUGUCGGUUUUAAUUGCCCAUUUCUUAACGUCUCUUUUACUUUUGUUUUUUUUUGUUGUUGUUGUUUUGCUUUGUUUUGCUUUUUUGCGCGCAAUGCCUAAAGUUCAUUUUCAUACGAUAGCCGCGGACUGGUGCGGGAAGGGGCAGCAGUGGCGCAUCCCCGCACGGACCCCUCUGGCAAGCAGCUCUGCCCCGGGCGAUAUGAAAACUUUAUCACCAACCGUCUUGAAGAGCAGCGUGAUCUAAACGGCUGAAGUUGCUACACAAGCCUGACUCAUGCCAGUAGGCAGAGGACAUGCUUGGGAAGCACAGAAGGAGACAACGGAUCUACGAGGGUGGCUCUUACUUCAGGAUCUGUAUGAAUGCACCAUCUUUUUAUUGAAAAGUGAUCACGUUUUUCUUAGAAAUAUUGUUAGCAAAAUGACCACUGAAUGCCACUUUGCUUUUCUUCAGUUCUUGAAAACAGCAUGAGCCUGGAGUAGAUAUGCUCACAAUACAAAUAUUUAUUCUGAGUACUACCAUAUCUGAUUUGAGAAAUUACAAAAUUCUACUGGGAAACUCUUAAAAGUAUUUUUCUCUUAAAUAGCAAUCUUAGACUGAGGGAAUGCACAAGUUCUGGGAUUCCCUGUAAUGACAAUAAAUGUUGAGGUAUAAUUAGUAAUAUUUUAGAAAGCCAACAAUUGUUUUUUGAAAGAAAGGUACAUUUUAGUUUCAAACUGGAACACAAAUUACUGUAUUUUUCUUAUAAUAGUGCUGAACUUUUAUUUGAGGUUCUCUGUUUUUGAAAGCAGACAUGAUGGAUUGAAAUAAAAGAUAAUUUAUUGCAAUGCUUACUUUCAAGUGCAGAGAGAAGCAGUGUAAUUGUAAUUUACAGUAGCUGUCAAGGAAAAUCUAUCACAGAUGACAUUAAAAUGACUUAUUUUGCCUGAGCCACUUAUUGUUUAAAUGUGCAUAAUCUGAUAGAAACAGAGUUUUUAAAAUCUGCUUUAUAUUGUUCUAAAUUAAUAUCAAAACAUAUACUUAUGAGUUAAACAUUUUAAACCAUUUAUUAAUACUUUCAUCACUACAAUUUUUUUUCCCAGGAGUUAGAAAUUGAUUUAUUUAACAACAUCACAUUUAUGUUUUGUAGCUCUAUAUACUCACAACACUUUCACGUAUCUAAACUGGCUGUCUAAAAAGUAGAUUUCAAACCAGAUUUGUUUCUAUUUGAAGGAGGAAUGUCUUAAAUGGCAGGAGAAAACAGACCACGGCGCCCAAUUCUGUUCCCGCCAGAGCUGACCGACAGUUUUGCCAUCAUCUUCAGUAAGAAAGAUUCAAAAAUUUCUCGGCAAAGUAAUUCAUAAAUCCACGCAAUUUUUUAUUUGCAGCUUUUAGCUGCAGGUAGCAAGUUGCUGCCGUCCAUCGAACACUGCGUUGCAGGUACCAAGCUUCCGUAACAAAGAACACGUCAGAACACUGAAUGCAAACUUACCUCUCUGAUAUAAUUACAGCCAAACCUACUCUAGAAAAGCAAACAGGCUGUGAUAUCUCAGAUAGGUUGUGUAAAUCACUUGAGUAUCUUCAUAGAAAACACCGAUGAAAGACAUCUAGGCACAUUUCCGUUCUGAUGGGCCUAAACGUUUCCGGCUUACAGGUACUUUUCCUCAGGUAUUUAUGCUCUUUAACUCUCCUGAAACUUAAAAUUUUGAUGUACGUAUGCAUGUAUGCAUGUAGGUAUAUAUGUAUGCAAAUGCAGAAUGACGACUAACCAGAAGCCCUGUGCUUCAACAAACCAAGACAAUCUUGCAGCAGAGGCAGCCGUAAAGUAGUUCCAAACAAAUCAGCACAUUUAAAUAGUCUGCACGAUAAAAUCUGCGAGAAUAAAGUUAAUGACCUGGUCUUUCAUGUGCAGUUUUGAGCAGCCACUAGUUCUGAUUAAACCGCUUUUCAAAGGGGGCGCUGAAUAUAUAUUUACACUUUGCAAGUAAACCGACCUCCAUAACAACAUAGCAAAAAUCCAAUGUCACUUUGAAUUAUCUUCUUCUUGUUUUUUUUUUUUUUAAUACAGCUAGAAUUAAUGUAGUGAAUCUGUAAUGAAAUGCAUUAUCCUGCAUGGAGAUUUAUCAGAUUUUCCGACUGAAUGCCAUGCUUUGCUAGCACUAGCUGGAGUUCACCUGCAUGUUGGUGUGGCGUGUGGCUCUUUUUUGUAAAGAGUUAAGUUGAACACAAAAAAAGGGAACAAAGGUCAGCACCCAGCCGCCACUUGAAUGUGAGAUUUUUCUUUUUAUUCCCCUUGAUGUAUACUAGGCUCUGUGUUAUUAGUCUUAAUGAUGGAAAAUUGUAGUGUUGAUACAAAUCUUUUUUUCAAAGUAGUAGGCGGGAGCUCCAUUUGUUAGUAAGUUUUUUUGUGACUAAAAGCCAUGGACAGUACAUUUAUGUAGCAGUAAAAGGCCUAGAUGCUCUUUCCAUAGCAGAGCUAAUUAUUCCUACUGUGACCUUACUGAUCUACCCUGUUCCUAGUACAUCUCAUCUGCACGCCUGUUCCUCUGUGUAGAUGGUGUCAGAGAAUAUGAAAAACCCUAUAAUGAAACCAUUUUCAUGAUGGAGAAAGGCUACUGGAGUUGCACUUGCUACAAAGAGGCUCAAUUAUAUGAGUAAUUGUGAUAAUUUUCUACAUUCAUAGCCUUCAAUGGGGAAAAAAGAAUGAGAGCCACAAAGGAAAAUUACUUUAACAAGAAAGUACAGAGAGUAAAAAUGGAAGAAGAGACAAAAAAGGGGAAAAAAAAUAACCAGAAAAAAAGUUUAAAAAAUAGAUCUGGAGGGAGGAAUAGCAAGACAGGGAGAACAACAGAAAUGCUCAAAAAGCCUAUGUGCAGCUGUGUUGCACAAUUAAAUUGAAUUUUUUUUCCUGCAGUUGAUGAAUGUGACUACUGCAAAUGUGCCUCUGUAGUUAGCUAUCAUUUGUUGUUCCGUGACAGGAAAAGGAUAAUUACCUCUCAGAGAGAAUCAAAGGCUGACAUGCCCUUUAGACACAGCCAUGAAUGCAGAGCUCGCUCGAAUGCUUGAAUAAGAAUCCAGUGUUCUGUGCCCCCUUCUACUCAAGAAUAAAUUUUGUUAAAAUGCAAGAGCACCACCAGUAAAUUUGUUGAACCCUAGGUGUUCAAAAAUAUGAGGUGCAUCUAUCGACUCAUCCCAUUUGCAAAAAUAAAACUACAUUUUGAAUUCGCUUCUAUUAUAUUCAUGGACAGUAAGAUAGUGAGAUAUGCAUUAAAUUUCUUUUCCCAGUAGGGGUCUGAUUCAACAUUUCCUAUGAAAGAACAGAAAGACACUAUCCUUUUUCUCCAGGCUAGUUAGCCUAUAAUUUAAAACUGUCAAAAACACAAUUUUAUACAAAGUCUUCAAUAAAAGCUUCUCAGAUAUAACCCAAAGAGGUUUUACUAAAGUUUGA